rnacentral:rRNA from 1 species
AAAGCCGCUUCUCUUGAAACNGUGGACANCUNACUNUUGCCACUGAAUAUAACCCCGGGGAGCUGGAUAUAAUACCCAAUCGGUCUCUAUUGCUGGAAUGCAUCUGAGAUUAAAAGCUCCGGCACCUAAGGAUGGGUCUGCGGCCUAUCAGGUAGUAGUGGGUGUACUCGUACCUACUAGCCUACGCACGGGUACGGGGUAUGAGACAUCACGAGCCCGGAAAAUGAUUCUGAGACACGAAUCCUGGCCCUACGGGGUGCAACAGGCGCGAAAACUUUACAAUGCUGGAAACAGCGAUAAGGGGACCUCGAGUGCCAGGUUACAAAUCUGGCUGUCGUGAUGCCUAAAAAGCAUAGCAUAGCAAGGGCCGGGCAAGACCGGUGCCAGCCGCCGCGGUAACACCGGCGGCUCGAGUGGUAACCGUUAUUAUUGGGUCUCAAGGGUCUGUAGCCGGCCGGAUAAGUCUCUUGGGAAAUCUGGCAGCUUAACUGUCAGGCUUUCAGGAGAUACUGUCUGGCUCGAGGCCGGGAGAGGUGAGAGGUACUUCAGGGGUAGGGGUGAAAUCUUGUAAUCCUUGAAGGACCACCAGUGGCGAAGGCGUCUCACCAGAACGGACCUGACGGCAAGGGACGAAAGCUAGGGGCACGAACCGGAUUAGAUACCCGGGUAGUCCUAGCCGUAAACGAUACUCGCUAGGUGUCGGCCACGGUGCGACCGUUGUCGGUGCCGUAGGGAAGCCGUGAAGCGAGCCACCUGGGAAGUACGGCCGCAAG